UACGUAGGGUGCGAGCGUUGUCCGGAAUUAUUGGGCGUAAAGAGCUCGUAGGCGGCCUGUUGCGUCGGUUGUGAAAGCCCGGGGCUUAACCCCGGGUCUGCAGUCGAUACGGGCAGGCUAGAGUUCGGUAGGGGAGAUCGGAAUUCCUGGUGUAGCGGUGAAAUGCGUAGAUAUCUGGAGGAACACCGGUGGCGAAGGCGGCGUCCUGGACCAACACUGACACUGAGGAGCGAAAGCCAGGGGAGCAAACGGG
rnacentral:rRNA from 1 species